rnacentral:rRNA from 1 species
GAUGAACGCUGGCGGCGUGCCUAAUACAUGCAAGUAGAACGCUGAAGGAAGGAGCUUGCUCUUUCCGGAUGAGUUGCGAACGGGUGAGUAACGCGUAGGUAACCUGCCUGGUAGCGGGGGAUAACUAUUGGAAACGAUAGCUAAUACCGCAUAACAGUAGAUGUUGCAUGAUAUCUACUUAAAAGGUGCAAUUGCACCACUACCAGAUGGACCUGCGUUGUAUUAGCUAGUUGGUGAGGUAACGGCUCACCAAGGCGACGAUACAUAGCCGACCUGAGAGGGUGAUCGGCCACACUGGGACUGAGACACGGCCCAGACUCCUACGGGAGGCAGCAGUAGGGAAUCUUCGGCAAUGGACGGAAGUCUGACCGAGCAACGCCGCGUGAGUGAAGAAGGUUUUCGGAUCGUAAAGCUCUGUUGUAAGAGAAGAAAGAGUGUGAGAGUGGAAAGUUCACACUGUGACGGUAUCUUACCAGAAAGGGACGGCUAACUACGUG